rnacentral:tRNA from 1 species
GCCCCCGUGCCCCAACUGGCAGAGGGAGCCGCCUUAAAAGCGGCCAGCUGUGGGUUCGAGUCCCACCGGGGGCA